CAUUGUGGGCUACACCCCGGUGCUGGGAGGCGUGUUAGGGGCAGUAUUGGGUGUUACACUGUCUACAGCGCGGGAAGGUUGGGUGCUUUAUCGGGCGUCAUUUCCCGCAGCCGCGGGGUGGCUUGUUGGGGGCGCUAUCCGUGGCUGCACUGGUCGCGCGGGGUUACGGGUUGGGGGCGCUAUCUGGGACAUCAGUGCCCAUGGCGGGGAACUUGUUGGCUAUGAUAUCCGAGGCGUCACUGCCCUUGGCUGGGGGCUGGUUGGGGGCUCUAUCUGUGGGCUACACUGCCCACAGCCAGGAGCGGGUUGGGUGCUAUCGCGGGGCCGCGCUGCCUGGCAGGGAGUGGGUUGGGUGCGCUAUUUGGGGUUGGACUGCUGGCGGUGGUUGACUCGGUGGGGGGUGAGGGGCAGGGGGGAUGGGUUGAAUGCAUUAUCGGGAUCUACACUGCCCGAGGCCAGGGGGAGAUGGGGGCGCCAUUGUUGGCUACACCGCCUGUAGUGGGGGGCGUGUAAGGAGCAGUAGUGUGUGUUGCAUUGCUCACGGCGGGGGAGGGUUGAGUGCGUUAUCCCGGGCGUCAUUUCCCGCAGCGGCGGGGACAGUGGAGGGGCUUGUUGGGGGCGCUAUCCAUGGCUGCACUGGUCCCCGCGGGGCACGGGUUGGGGGCGCUACCUGGGACAUCAGUGCCCAUGGUGGGGAACUUGUUGGGUGUGUUAUCCGAGGCAUCACUCCCCAUGGCUGGGGGCUGGUUGGGGGCGUUAUCCAUGGGCUGCACUAACCACAGCCAGGAGCGUGUAUGGGGCAUUAUCGGGGGCGGACUGCCAGUGGCUGGGUGGGGAGGCGGGUUGGAUGCUAUGUGGGGUUGCACUGCCCGGCAGGGAGUGAGUUCGGUGCGCUAUCCGGGGUUGCACUGCAGGCGGUGGGCGGCAGAUUGGGUGCCCUAUCGCUACACUGCCGUGGCGAGUACCGGCUUGGCGGCGCUAUCCUGGGCUACACCGCCCGUGGCGGGGGGCGUUUUAGUUGCGCUAUCUGGUGCUGCACUGCCCGCGCAGGAGUUGGGUUGGGUGACCUACUCCAGGCGUCACUGCCCGAGGCUGGGGGCUAAUUUGGGGCGCUAUCCCGGGAGUCAUUUCCUGUGGCGGGGGGCUGGUUGAGGGCGGUAUCCAUGGCUGCACCGCCCACAGCACAGAGCGGCUUUGGGGAGUUAUCCCGGGCCGCGCUGCCCGUGGCAGGGGGCAGGCUGCCAGCGCCAUUGGGUGCUGCAUGUACUAGGCACGGACGAGUUAGGGGCGCCAUCUGGGACUGCACUGCCGGUGGCGGGCGGUGGAGGUGUCAGUGACAGCGGUCUCCAAGAGAGGAGCUGUCCUCCUCUUCCUGGCCACCUCCUUCUGUUCUUUGCCCAAGUGCGGCGGGCGCACAGCGUUUCCUGAGCGUGGCAGGGGCCCCAGCCCCGUGGUGCUUCCUGGACCCGCCUCCUCUUACUCUGUGUUGCAGAAACCGCCUGGGACCCCCGGGCACGCAGUAGUGGACAUCACGAGGCUACAGGGCCCUGUGGGUGAAGGAGGCAUCAGGAAAGGGAACUGGCACUUGGGUGGGGAGGGCUGGCUGGGGUUGAGUUUCUGCUGCUCCUGCUUCCCGAGGAGCGCAGCCAGGCUGGGUGCAGCGGUUCCUGUGGAGUGGGAAGCCCGGGCACUGUGGUGUCUGCAGUCCCCACUCCAGGCCCCAGUUCCUGGCCAGCUUGCGCUAAAAGGAGAGGCUGGACUUUGAAGUGUGGGUGUGAGUACCUUCACUGAAAGCGGCCCCUGCCACCCAGUGGCCAGCAUGACAAGUGGCGCUCUAAUGUUACCACUCUGCAUCCUGUUCUAGGCUUUUCUGGCUUUGUCUGCCCAGGUGCCCAGUGCCCUGAGAAGGAGGAGCCACAUGCCACAUGUUGGAGGCUACAGCCUGUGGUACCAUGAUUUGCCUCCGAUGGAGUUGGCUGAAUUAGGCUUCCCAGAGACUGUGGUGUCCCAAUCUGUAAACUGCUAAUUUCUUUGGGCAUUGUCCCCAUAAACUUUUUGAAAUCAUGAAUGAUUUCACCAUUCUUCCACCCAAGCUUUACUAUCAAUUUGACGUUUGUCCUUGCUUCCAUUCUAGUUGGAUUCGUGUUGCUUUGAUAGGAGCUCUUUUCAAACUGAUGUCUUAUCUUUCUUUUUUUUUUUAAUUUUUUUUUAUUUUUGAGAUGGAGUUUCACUCUUGUUGCCCAGGCUGGAGUGUGGUGGUGCAAUCUCGGCUCACUGCAACCUCCACCUCCUGGGUUCAAGUGAUUCUCCGGCCUCAGCCUGCCAAGUAGUUGGGAUUACAGGCUCCUGCCACCAUGCCUGGCUAAUUUUUUGUAUUUUUAGUAGAGACAGGGCUUCAUCAUGUUGGCCAGGCUGCUCUCGACCUCCCAACCUCAGCUGAUCCACCUACCUCAGCCUCCCAAAGUGCUGAGAUUCCAGGCGUGAGCCACCAUACCCGGCCAUCUUAUCUUUCCUAGUGCCUCAAACUAGAUCCUGUUCAGACAUGUUAUAACAGGUCUAUGGCAUCAUAAUUCAGCUAACCUCAGAGACUCUGUUAGCUAUGUAGAAGAUCAAAUUCUCCCCAAGCAGCAGAUCAUACUAAGGGAGGUGGCAGAGCACCUAGGUUUUGAAAUGGAAUGGAACAGCGUUGGAAUUCCAACUCUAUCACUCAUGAGCUGUGUGAUCUUGGUGAAUUUAUUUGACCUCAUAAAACUUUAGUUUACUUAUAUCUAAAAUAGGAUAACAAUGUUAUACAGUAUUAGUUCCCUAUUGCUGCUGUAACAAAUGACCACAACUUGGUGGCUUAAAACAAUACAAACUUAUUACCUUUUAGUUUUGGAGGCCAGAAGUCCAAAAUCAAUCUUAGUUAUUAAAGUCAGGAGAGUUGCAUUUCCUUCUGGAGGCUCUAGGGAUAAUUCAUUUUUGGCCUUUUCCAGCUUUUAGAGGCUGCCCACAUUCCUUGGCUUUUGGCCUCUUUUAUCUUCAAAGUCGGCAAGGCCCACCUAGUUUUUCUCACAUUGCGUCACUCUCACAUACUAUUUUUCUCCCCUCUCUUCCACUUAUAAGAGCCCUUGUGAUUACAUUGGGUGUUGCUCAACAGCACUAAUCAUUAUGAAAAUGUAAAUCAAAACCACAAUGAUGUGUUUCCUCACACCCAUUAGGGUGGUUACUGUUUAAAACAAUGAAAAUAACAAGUAUUGGCAAAGAGUGGAGGAAUUAGAACCCUUGUGCACUGUUUGUGGGAAUGUAAAGUGGUGCAGCCACUAUGGAAAACAGAAUAGUAAUUUCUUAAAAUUUUUAAAAUAGAAUUAUCAUAUGAUCUGGCAAUUCUACUUCUCGGUAUAUAUCCAAAAGAAUUGAAAGCACAGUUUGUUUUGUUUUGUUUGUUUGUUUGUUUGUUUUUGAGACAGGAUCUCACUCUAUUGCCUAGACUGGAGUGCAGUGGUGCGAUCUUCGCUCACUGCAACCUCCACCUCCCAGGCUCAAGUGAUUCUCCUUCCUCAGCCUCUCAAGUAGCUGGGAUACACAGGUGUGCACCACUACCACCCGGCUAAUUUUUGUGUUGUUAGUAGAGAUGGGGUUUUACCAUGUUGGGCAGGCUAGUCUCAAACUCAUGACCUCAAGUAAUCCACCCGCCUUGGCCUCCCAAAGUGCUGGGAUUACAGGUGUCAGCCACUGCGCCCAGCCUGGGUCUUAAAGAGAUAUUUGUACACCCAUGUUAAUAGCAGUAUUAUUUACAAUAGUUGGAAAGGCAGAAGCAAUCUAAAUGUUUACUGAUUAAUGGAUAAACAGAAUGCGGUAUACAGUGUACAUAUAAUGAAAUAACCUUCUGUACUAAAAGGAAAUUCCGACACACACUACAGUAUGGAUGGGUGUCGAGAACACUAUACUAAGUGAAAUAAGCCAGUCACAAAAGGAUAAAUACCAUAUGAUAGCACUUAUAAGAAGUGUCUGUAGAAACAGCAAGAAGAAGGAUGGGUACCAGGGACUAAAACAGGGAGUAGUUGUUCAAUGGGUGUAGGGUUUCAGUUUUGCAAGAUGAAAAUGUUCUGGAGAACUGUUGCACAACACGUGAAUAUACUUAGUACUACUAAACUGUACGUUUACAAAUGGUUAAGAUGGUAAGUUUUUAUGUGUAUUUUAUCACAAUUAAAAAUUUUUUAUGUUGUUGGUUCCCUACUUCCUCCAACUUCAGAAAUCUUUUCCCAGCAUUUUUCACAGGUGGUUACUCGAUUUUUCUCGAAAGCAUCCAAUGAUGACUAACUGCAGAUGGACUAAAUGCCAUUGUUAGACAGUAACAUUCAAUUUUUUAAAAAAGUAUUUCUAUUUGGAGUUUAAAUCCCCUGCUCUGUAGGUAAUGAGAUACAGACUUGUUGACUGAAGUAAUAUAGAAUAAGUCGACUCCUUCUUCUACAUGACAGACUUUCAAGGCUUUGAAGAAAUUUAGGUCUUUCCUAAGCUAAAUGCACAGGACAUAGUUCCCAAACCAUUUGAGUGUUGUUCUGGGCACCUACUCCUUGCAGACUAUGAGAUUUUUAACGUCUCAAACACGCUGAAUCUCAAUUUUAUUCAUUCAUUCGUUUAAACAAUCUUUAUUAAGCACUGUUAUUUUAACCAAGCAUUGUCUAAGGUACUAGGGAAAUAACAUGGAAAAAAACAGACAUAGUUGCCACCUGCAUAAAGCAUGGAAUCCAAUGGGAGUAAUAAUAACGAAACAAGCAUAACACGAAACUGAGACAGGUGCCCUGAGGUGGAAGUUACAGAAUUAAACAGAGGCAUGGAACAGAGUUAUCUAAUGUAGAAAGUAAAAAGUUUCUCUUCAAAGCUUCCCUUCUUAUUAAAGAAUAAAUCGUAAGUGUUAGAAAUAACAGUUUCUUUUUAUUUAUAUUUAUUUUUUUAUUUUUUUGAGAUGGAGUCUUGCUCUGUCACCCAGGCUGGAGUGCAGUGGCGCAAUCUUGGCUCACUGCAAGCUCUGCCUCCUGGGUUCACGCCAUUCUCCCGCCUCAGCCUCCCGAGUAGCUGGGACUACAGGCGCCUGCCACCACGCCCGGCUAAUUUUUUGUAUUUUUAGUAGAGACGGGGUUUCACUGUGUUAGCCAGGAUUGUCUCGAACUCCUGACCUCCUGAUCCACCCGCCUCAGCCUCCCAAAGUGCUGGGAUUACAGGUUUGAGCCACUGUGCCCAGCAGAAAUAAUAGUUUCUUUUAAAGACUAACUUCCUUCAAGCCUCCUUCCUUUGUGCUAGUAACUCUUUGUUAAGCCCUAUCCUAUGUAGCUGUUAAAUAUGUUCACAGGCACGUUCCAGCUUGCAGCCUAUGCCCCUUCCCUGUUUGGCAUAAGCAACUUCCUCUUUUCCUUUGUCUUUCCAUUACUUUUACAUAUUUAGAAAAGUUUUAAACUGUUAGCCAAUCGGGUUUUAGUUUAAAUUGUGAGGUCUGGCUCCAGCCAAUGGAGACAGGACACAGCAGCAAGGACAAACUGAAUAAGGAAUAAAAAUUGCUUCCCUCCCUUGUUCAGGUGUGCUCUCGCCAUUGUUCCAUCUGCGAUGAGCACCCUUUCUGCAGAAAGUAAAAAUGGCCUUGCUGAGAGAAUUAAAUUUACGUUUGAGUGCUAUUUAUUUGCAGCACUGGGGAACAAGCAUUCUGUUUCUAAAUAAACAUUUUGUAUAUAACAUCUAACUUUGGGAAUUGCGGUGGAAAGCUUUGAAGACUUGCCCUGAGAAGCGACAUCUAAAGUAAGUCCUUAAGGGUAUAGAGCAGUUAGCUAGGUGAUGAGAAUGUGAAACCAAGCUUAUGGAGUUAGCAGGAAGAUUCAAUUGGAUAAAAUGAUUUAGGUAAAUGUUAUCCUCUACUCCCAUUUAUCCCUAUGGAUUCAACUCAUUCAGAUUCUACUGUCAUUUACUGAGCUUCCUACUGUGUGCCAGGCUCUGUGCUGGCUUCUCAUAUCUAAUCUCAUUUCUGUAUGAUGACCUCAUGAAAACAACUCUUAAAGUGCCACCAUCUUUUAAAAAGUGACAAUAAGAACUACCACACUUUGGACCAAAUAAUGCAAACUGAAAUAGGAAAAAACACACAGAGGAAGAAAAUGUUUUGCUAAAACCGUAUUGUGAAAUGAUAAGCCAUUAUUAUUAUCAUUACUUUAUCACAUAUCUAUGCCUGGACAUGAUUAUUAACGUAGCCUGCAUUAAUGUAGAGUUGCAUUAAUGCUCUAGAGACUGAACUGGCACAAUUGAAUUUGUGGUGCUACAAAUAUCCUCCCUUUUGUUCUCAUAAGAACUCUGUCCAUUUGGGUCUCCUUCCAAUCUACACUUACAAAACUGAUUUUUUAGAACCUACACACACACAUUUUCAUCCGAUGCAAAUUUACUUAGUUGAUUUAGACACAUCAUUCUAGUCUGUUGGGAUAAUCUUUUUUAAUAUGUUUUUUAAAUUAUACUCUAAGUUCUGGGAUAUAUGUGCAGAAUGUGCAUGUUUGUUACAUAGGUAUACACAUGCCAUGGUGGUUUGCUGCACCCAUCAACCCGUCACCUACAUUAAGUAUUUCUCCUAAUCCUAUCCCUCCCCUAGCCCCCAACCCCCUGACAGGCCCCGGUGUGUGAUGUUCCCCUCCCUGUGUCUAUGUGAUCUCAUUGUUCAACUCCCACUUAUGAGUGAGAACAUGCAGUGUUUGGUUUUCUGUUCUUGUGUUCGUUUGCUGGGAUAAUCUGGAGUCCUGUUUUUGUCAUUCACCAUUAGAUCUUACCCAGUGGGUGUGCUAAGCUUCCCUUCUGUGAAUACAUCUGGGGUUCUGAUAAUAGAUCAUAGCCCUACUUUAGUUCCUUUGCUUCUGCUGACUCUGGGUUAAGGAAUCUGGAGCCGCUGUCAGCUUUCACCCCUCUCAAGCUCCUGAGAAGAUCUAAGCUGAAGCAAGAUUCAACUAUCUUCUCCCAUCCCUUAUCAGCAACGGGCUUUUUUUUUUUUUUUUUUUUUGAGACUGAGUUUUGCUCUUGUUGCCCAGACUGGAGUGCAAUGGUGUGAUCUCGGCUCACCACAACCUCUGCCUCCCAGGUUCAAGCGAUUCUCCUGCCUCAGCCUCCCAAAUAGCUGGGAAUACAGGCGCGCGCCACCACACCCAGCUAAUUUUGUAUUUUUAGUAGAGACAGGGUUUCUCCAUGUUGGUCAGGCUGAUCUCGAACUCCUGACCUCAGGUGAUCUGCCCGCUUCGGCCUCCCAAAGUGUUGGGAUUACAGGCAUGAGCCACGGUGCCCGGCCAGUGGCAAGGCUUAUAGUUAAGUAUUGCUCUCAGACUCUGUGAUUUGGUGGCCCAGUUAUGCCUUUAGGUCUCUCUUCUGCCUCUGACUAGGGAGCUAAGAUGACAUGCUGAUCCACUCCUGGCAUGGCACAUCCCAUUCCACGUCCUGAUCUCCUCUUCCCCUACCUCAUCAUUUCCAUCUGUGUGCCGAGAAUAUACACCCCACGUGAAAUAGUCAGUGGUUUGCAGGUGGUUUGGCAGUGUCAGAAAUAAAAGCAAGGAAAUAAUUUUGUUCAUAUAUUUGAAAUUAAUUAGAAUUAGUUAUAAUGUUUAUAGAAAUCUCAAUGUUUCUUAAAAUCAUUACAUUCUUAAAAGUUUUAUGCAUACCACAAAGACAUCCUAUAAAAUUCUACAUCAUUUAUAUAA